rnacentral:lncRNA from 1 species
ACUGGUGGGAGCUUGGAAGGAGGGUAGAAGGGAGAAAGAAGCUGAUUUUAUUUCUCCUUCUGUUGAAGUCUCUGGCAGUGGCAGCAGUAGCAGCAGUGGCAGCAGCUGCGGCAAUAGCAGUAGCAGCGGCAGUAGGUGACUGAGUUUCUGCUCAGGUGGAGUUUCAACAGCAGUGGGGGCAGGGAGUGCUCUCGCAGCCUCUGCAGCAGGGCGUUCCUGGGCUCUGGAUCUGGCAGCAUCAGUGUCCGUGACAGGCAGCCCUUGGUGGGAGUUUAAUUUCUCGGCUUCCUGAAAGAUUUCCAAUAACGGCCGUGGAGCAGCAAGUAUCACAGCAGCUUCAGCCACCGAGCAAUCACCGACUCUUUGUGGAUCACACCAUAUUUCCUUUUGUUCAGCCAGCCUUAGGACGGCCCUGAAAGCAGCAGAUCUCACCUGCAUUGGAGGAUGAGACGCCACAUGAAGAAGAAAGAAGACGCCACAGACAGCAGCGCAGUACCACCUUCCAGAGAUGUGAGUGUGACCGUCUUUGACCUUCUAGCCCAGCUGCUUUCCCUGAAUGCAAUGCAUGAGCAGGCCAGGCAAAACUAGAGAGGGAAGCUGCCCAGCUAACCCACAGAAUUAUGAGAGAUAAAAAAUCAUUGUCUUAAGCCACUAAGUCUGUUAUGCAGCAAUAUAUAGCAUUCAUUCAACUUUUGUCUCAUGAAUACUCUCAUUUCUUUUAUAAGUUCUUUUGUGGUUCAAAUUAGCUCAAAUCAGUUUCUGAUGCUUAUGACCAAAUGCCCCUAUGUGAUAGAUUUUGAGGGGUUAAGAAGCUUGCUCGGAUCACACAGCGGUAAGUAGCAGCACUUCAUCUUUAACCCACCUCUGGCCCACUCCCUUUCCAUAGGUCCUUGUUGCCUCCCUCCCUAAUCCCUUCCAGUCUAGUUUCCUCACUCAUUUUAGCAUCUUGAAGAUGCCUGACCUUUUGUAACAGGCACUUAGAAGAGGCAAUAAUCAAGCUGUGAGCUGGAAUACUGGGUUUCUCAUCCAAUAACCAGGUUGGCAGGUUGGUAACCAUACAAGGGACUUUUCAAACUGGAGAAUUAGUGUGCUGAGCACAAAGUGGUGAGUAUUUUGAGAGUUACUGAAAUAUAAUUGACAUAACAAUAAAAAUACAAUAUUUAAGUGCAUGUAUUUCAAGUGUACGAUUUGACAAGUUUGGUUAUAUUAUAUACACCUACGAAACCAUCACCACAAUUAAGAAAAUGAGCAUAGCUAUCACACACAAAAGUUUCCUUGUGCCCCUUGGUAAUUCCUCCCUCUCUCCUGCCCACAUCUCUCCUUUUCCCAGGCAAUCCCUGAUCUGAUUUCUGCCGCUAUCAAUUCGUUUGCAUUUCCUAGAAUUUUAAAUAACUGAAAACAUACAUUAAGAACUCUUUUUCUCUGGCCGAGUAUGGUGGCUCACGCCUGUAAUCCCAGCACUUUGGGUGGCCAAGGCGGGCAGAUCACCUGAGGUCAGGAGUUCGAGACCACCCUGGCCAACGUGGUGAAACCCUGUCUCUACUAAACAUACAAAAAUUAGCCAGGCAUGGUAAUGGGCAUCUGUAAUCCCAGCUACUCGCGAGGCUGAGGCAGGAGAAUUGCUUGAACCUGGGAGACAGAGGUUGCAGUGGGCUGAGAUCACGCCACUGCACUCCAGCAUGGACAACAGAGCGAGACUCCGUCCCCAAAAAAGAAAAAAAAAAAGAACUUUUUUUUCUCCAGCUUCUCCCACUUAGCAUAAUUAUGUUGAGAUUCAGCCAUGUUUUCCUGUGGAUCAAUAAUUUAUUUCUUUAUAUUGCCAAGUGGUAUUCCAUCGUAUGUAUAUACCAUAGUUUGUUUAUCCAUUCAACCACUGAAAGACAUUAGGGUUGUUUUCUGUUUUGGGUUAAUAAAACAAAGCUUCUGUGAACAUUUAUCUACAAGUCUUUGUGUGGAUAUAAGUUUCCAUUUCUCUUAGGUAAAUAUCUAGGGUCAUAAAAUAAGUAUAUACCUAAAUUUUGAAGAAACUACCAAACUAUUUUACAAAAUGGUUGUAUUAUUUUACCUUUUUGCCAGCCAUAUAUGAGAGUGUCAAUUCCUUCACAUUCUUGUCAAAACUUGAUGUGUUCAGUCUUUUUAAUUUUGACCAUUCUAAAAGCAUGUAAUGGGGCCGGGCACAGUGGCUCACACCUGUAAUCCCAGCACUUUGGGAGGCCGAGGCGGGCAGAUCACGAGGUCAGGAGAUCGAGACCAUCCUGGCUAACAUGGUGAAUAAUACUAAAAAUACAAAAAAUUAGCCGGGCAUGGUGGUGGAUGCCUGUAGUCCCAGGUACUCAGGCGGCUGAGGCAGGAGAAUGGCCUGAACCCAGGAGGCAGAGCUUGCAGUGAGCUGAGAUUGCGACACUGCACUCCAGCCUAGGUGACAGAGCGAGACUCUAUCUAAAAAAACAAAACAAAAAUGAAAAAAAAAAACACACAAAAACAUGUAAUGGUAUCCCAUUGUGGUUUUAACUCACAUUACUGUCAGAGGCAUUGGAACCAGAGUGACUCCAUCUUGAGCAGAGGCUAGAUAAAAUAAAGCUGAGACCUUCUGGGCUGCAUUCCCAGGAGGUUAGGCAUUCUUAGUCACAAGAUGAGAUAGGAAGUUGGCACAAGUUACAGGUCACAAAGACCUUGCUGAUAAAACUGGAUGCAGUAAAGAAGCUGGCCAAAACCCACCAAAACUAAGAUAGUGAUGAAAGUGACCUCUGGUUGUCCUUACUGCUCAUUAUAUGCUAAUUAUAAUGCAUUAGCAUGCUAAAAGACACUCCCACCAGUGCCAUAACAGUUUACCAGUGCCAUGGCAACAUCAGGAAGUUACCCUAUAUGGCCUGAAAAGGGGAGGAACCCUCAGUUCCAGGAAUUGCCCACCUCUUUCCUAGAAAACUCAUGAAUAAGUCACCCCUUGUUUAGCAUAAAAUCAAGAAGUAACAAUAAGUAUAAGCAGCUGAGCGGCCCAUGCUGCUGCUCUGUCUAUGGAGCAGCCAUUCCUUUAUUCCUUCACUUUCUUUGUUUUUUGUUUUUUGUUUUGUUUUUUUGUUUGUUUUGAGACAGAGUCUCACUGUGACACCUAGUUUGGACUGCAAUGGCGCGAUCUUGGCUCACUGAAACCUCCGCUUCCCAGGUUCAAACGAUUCUCCUGCCUCAGCCUUCCGAGUAGCUGGGACUACAGGUGUGCACCACCAUGCCUGGCUAAUUUUUGUAGUUUUAGUAGAAAUGAGGUUUCGCCAUAUUGGCCAGGCUGUUCUUGAACUCCUGACCUUAAGUGAUCUGCCUGCUUUGGCCUCCCAAUGUGCUGGGAUUACAGGCUUCAACCACUGAGCCUGGCCUACUCCUUUGCUAUCUUAAUAAACUUGGUUUCAGCUUACUUUAUGGACUCGCCCUAAAUUCUUUCUUGUGCAAGGUCCAAGAACCUUCUCUUGGGGUCUGCAUCAGGACCCCUUUCUGCCCUUUCUGGUAACAGUACCAUAAUAACAAAUAUUAUCGAGCAUAUUUUCAUGUAAUUAUUUGCAACUUGUAUAUCUUCUUUGGUAGAGUGUCUGUUAGAAUAUUUUGUCUAUCUAAAAAUUGGGUUUGUUUUCUUAUUAUUGAAUUUUGAGAGUGUGUUAUAUGUUCUGGACACAAGCCCUUUAUCAGAGAUAUGGUUUGCAAAUAUUUUCUUCUAGUCUGUGACUUUUCUCUCUUAACAAUGUCUUUUGAAGAGCAGGUGUUUUAAAUUUUGAUGAAGUCAGAUGUAUCAAUUUAUGAUUUUAAUAAAUCAUGCUUUUAGCAUAGUAUUUAAGAUACUUAACCCAAGGUCACAAGAGUUUUCUUUUAGAAGUUUUAGUUUUAGGUUUUGCAUUUAGGUAUAUGAUCCAUUUUGAGUUAGUUUAUAUACAUUGUGCAAGGUAAGGACUGAGGUUUUUAAUUUUUGCAUAUAGAUUACCACUUGUGCCAACCUCACUGUUGUGAUGAUAUGAUAGAAAUCACUGUCUUUUCUCCACUGACUUGCUUUUGCAUCUUUGUAAAAAGUUGGUCAUGCCAAUGAAACUGACCCAAUUUUCCCAUAGAACUGAUGGGAAAAACUGUUUACAGUUUUGUUGUUGUUUUUUGUUUUUGUUUUUGUUUUUAAUGAACAUUGAAGUGGACUCUCCAGGUUUUAAAGCUUGAGAAACUUACAUUUGUCUUAUCUGAGUUUAUUUCUCAGGAAACCAGCUGUCAGGCCUCCCAGAUAGUAUCAGAAAGCUGAAGAUUUCCAGAUCGCUGCAUCCUAACAGCAAGGUGCCAGAACCCUGAUUCAACUACCUACUGCCUGUUGAGCAACUCCUACAUAAACUCCUAACUUUAUUGGUUACAGAGACAGAUUUUAGACUUGUCUCCCAUAUCCUGGCUGGCAUCACCAGCAAUAAAGCCUUUCUUCCUGGCAGUACUUGUUGUCUCAGUGAUUGGCUUUCUGUGUGGUGAGCAAUCAGACCUAAGCUGAAUCCCUGGCAUUCACCAACACAUAAAUGUGCAGUUCUGUUUCUGGACUCUCUCUUCUGCUUCAUUGAUCUGUUUUUCUAACUUUAUGCCAAAAUUGCACUAGUUUGAUUACUGUUCCUUUAUAAUAAGCUUUGAAAUAAUGUCAUAUUAGGCCUCCAACUUUGUUCUUCUUUUUGAAAACUGUUUUGGCUAUUUUAGGUCCUUGCAUUUCCAUAAAAGUAUUAGAAUCAGCUUAUCAAUUUCUCCAAAAAAAAAAAAAAAAGCCUACUGAGAUUUUGAUUGGGAUUGCACUGGAUUUAUAGACCAUUUUGGGGAGAACUGACAUCUUAACAAUAUUGAGUCUUCCUCCCAUGAACAAAGUAUAUUUCUUUAUUUGUUUAGGUCUUCUUUAAUUUUUCUCAACGAUGUUGUAUGGUUUUCAGUAUAUAGAUCUUUCAGAGUUUUGUCAGAUUAAUUCUUAAGUAUUUAAUAUUUUUGACCUAAUUGUAAAAGGUAUUAUUUCUUUCCGUUUCAAUUGCCAAUGGGUUAUUGCUAAUAUAUAGAAAUGCAAUUGAUUUUGCCUAUAACUUUGCUAAUAGUUCUAGUAGCUUUUUCAUGUGAAUUCCAUUGGCUAGUCUACAUAGCUCACUGACGCUCUGUUCAUUAAAAGAAUUUUUUCCCUCUGAGUUUCCUUUUAGGUAGCGUCUUUUGCUAUGAUUUCAAUUUCACUUUUUUCCCCUUCUUCAAUAGCUAAUCUGCUACUAAUCCUAUAGUGUUUUUUUCAUCUCAAUAUUGAACUUUCCAUCUGUAGAUGAUUUGAGUCUUUUCUAAAUCUUCCAUGUCUCUAUUUGACCUUUUAAACAUAUAGAAUACAGCUAUAGUAACUGUUUUAAUGUCCUUUUCUGUUUAUUCUACUGUCUGUGUCAGUUCUGGUUUGAUUUCAGUUUAUUGAUUAUUCUCUUCAUUAUGGCUAGUGUUUACCUCCUUCUUUUCAUGAUGAGUAAUUUUUUAUUUGAUGCCAGCCACUAUAAUUUUAUCUUGUUGGGUCUUGGGUUCUUUGCAAUCUUAUAAGUGUUCUUCAGCUUUGUUCUGCAAUACAGUUAAGAUACUUGGCAACACUUGAAUACUUAAAGUCUUGCUUUUAAGAUUUUUUAGGUGGUACUACAGCAGUGCUCAGUUUAGGCAUAAUUAUUCCCCACUACUAAGUUAAGACCCUUCUGUGUACUCUAUUUAUUGCUUCAUGAAUCAUGGUCUUAAAUGUGGCUGGUAAGAAUAGGUACUAUUUCUAGCUGUGUCCGAGUAUCAGACAUUGUUUCUUCUAAUCCACUCAGGUGGUUCUUUUGGCCUUGGGUAAUUUUCUGUCAUGCAUGCACAAAUCAAUACUCAGAAGAAUACUUAAGGAGGUCCCUCUGCAAAACCCUAGAACUCUGUGUGCACAAAUCUCUCCUCUCUGGGAACCUGCUUGUGAGUUCUCACUGCUGUGGUUUUUCCAACCUUCAACUCUGUCUCCCCAACUCAGGGAGGCCUUGGGGCUCCACCAGGGUUCCCUCUCCCUAUAUCUUAGCCUCAAAACUCUUUCACAGUAGUAAAUUUUGGCCACUGUAUGGAUGACAUUAUUUAUGUCUCAUCUCUUAAGUAUCAAAGUAUCAUUAUCCUUAAUUGCCUGGUGUCCAGUACCUUAAAAUUGCUAUUUAAUAUAUUUUGCUUUUUUUUUUUUUUCAGGGAGGAGGGUAAAUCCAAUCCAUCUUGAAUGAGCAUAUGUAUUAGUUUUUAUGCUCCUGAUAAAGACAUAGCUGAGGCUGAGCAAUUUACAAAAGAAAGAGGUUUAAUAGACUUAUAGUUCCUUAUGGCUGGGGAGGCCUCACAAUCAUGGCGGAAGGCAAGAAGGAGCAGGUCACAUCUUACGUGGAUGGCAGUAGGCAAAGAGUUUGUGCAGAGAAACUCACAUUUUAAAACCAUCAGAUCUCCUGAGACCCACGAGAACAGCACAAGAAACAGCACGGGAAAGACGUGCCCCCAUGAUUCAACCAUCUCCCACUGGGUCCCUCCAACAACAUGUGGGAAUUAUGGGAGCUACAAGAUGAGAUUUCGGUGGGGACACAGAGCCAAACCAUAUCAGGGUAGAAUGGUAUUAAAGAAAAAGAUUUUCUUACACUUAUUAAGGCAGUAAGAAAGAUUUAUUCAAGAUUAUUGCAAUAGGUAUCAAGACUGUGCAAUAGGAGACAGGAAAUGGUUGAGCUCAACUCUGAAUACAGCAAAAACCACUGGAGGUUUUUAGCCAGUGAGCAGAAUGGGAGGAGAAGAGUCAGUGGAUGGAAAAUUACUAAGAGGAGAAAUCAAAGGUGGGAGGAUUUUCCCUAAACUGACUUAGCAGGACUCUUGUUACAAUUGGACUAGGCAGGCUGAAGACAGGAUGCAAGGACAAAGCUUGUUGAAAAGAGGCCUCAGAGGAGCUCAUCUAAAAUUUGGUCAAGGGGAGGGUCUUUCUUGGUCCCUCCUCUUGUUCAAGGGAAAAAGAGACAUUCUUCUUUCCUUUGAACAAUAUAAGUCAAUUUCUCAUUUGGUGGCCUUUUUUUCAUUAAGGACAAGCUGAGCCCCCUGCUGAAACUUGGUAGCAGGGCAGCCAGUUGAGAAGAUUUCUAGAUGUCAAGGCAUCUUUAGAUGAUGGGGUGAGGACUGCAGUGGCCAUCCCAGAUCAUGGAUUUUCUGGUUUGCAGUUUGAAUGUCCUUGGUGAUGGCAUAGACAUCAGUGUCACAGUCAUGGUUAUUUUUCCGAGCAGAGUGUAGAAGUGUCCAACUUCAUCUUGAAGGGCUUCUUUAGACAGUCACAAUAAAGAUCUGGGAAGUUAGGUUUUAGUUCUCAGUGAUGCCAAAUCAGGACAGUGGGAGAAAAAUUAAAAACCUCAGUUUGGAGAGUGGUAGCCAGAUAGUAAAGGGAACUAGAAGAACUGAGAAUUUGGUAAGGACUGACAAGCUGUGCAUGAUGACAGGAUCCCGUUCAAUUUACAAGUAGAUAACAAAACCUGAAAGACAAGUACAGGACCAGAAUAAUAACCCAUAAGAAGGUGCUAUAGUUUUUAUAAAAUAUCUUUCUACAGUCAUCCCCCUUUUUUGAUCCAAAUUAACCAAAGUAAGAUUAUUCUUGUUUACAAAAUAAGUCUUGUCUCAUUAUAUUUGACUUACUUAUUUGCAUAAUUGCAGCAAGAAUGGCAACUGACCAGGUAGGCUUAUUUAAGUUUGCAUUGCUGGAACUUUUUACAAGUAAUCUCAGAUUAUGCUUUCAAGAGUUCUUGAAGCUAUAAAGCCAAGUCAAGCACCACCAGGCCUUAUCUGCAAUGCCUAGAGAUUCAGAUGGGUUCUUCUCUUCUUGAGGUCCUAAAAACAUCCUGAGUUUCUUUGGCCUGCCAGAAAGUCACCUUCCUGACUCACCUGUAAGGCUGGGAACUCCAUAAUCCAGUUGGAAAUGCAGAAAUCACCUGUCUUCUGCGUCGAUCAGGCUGGGAGCUGCAGACCGGAGCUGUUCCUAUUCGGCCAUCUUGGAAUGGACCCCCAUGUCUUAUUCUCAAAUAAAACAUUUUGGUCAAAGCCUUGAUUAUCUAAUCAAUUUUUAAAAUUAUGUUCUGUUACAAAAAGGACAGAUUCUUAUCGAACCCAUAUAAAAUAGUAUAUCACCAUUGAUACGGUUUGGAUCUGUGUCCCCACUCAAAUCUGAUGUUCAAUUGUAAUCUCCCAGUGUUAGAGGUGAGGCCUAGGGGGAGGUGAUUGGAUCAUGGGGACAUUUUCUCAUGAAUGUUUUAGCACUGUCCCCUUGGUGCUGCUCUUGUGCUGGUCAGUGAGUUAUCGUGAGAUAUGGUUGUUUAAAAGUGUGUAGCAGCUGGACAUGGUGGCUCACACCUGUAAUCCCAGCAUUUUGGGAGGCCAAGGUGGGCAGAUCACCUGAGGUCGGGAGUUCGAGACUAGCCUGACCAACAUGGAGAAACCCCAUCUCCACUAAAAAUACAAAGUUAGCUGGGUGUGGUGGCGGGCGCCUGUAGUCCCAGUUACUCGGGAGGCUGAGGCCGGAGAAUCGCUUGAACCCGGGAGGCCGAGGUUGCCGUGAGCCGAGAUCGUGCCACUGCAUUCCAGCCUGGGUAACAAGAGUGAAACUCCGUCUCAAAAAAAAAAAAAGAAAGUGUGUAGCACCUUCCCACUCUCUCUUUCUUCCUUCUGCUCUGAGUAUGUGAUGCGCCUCACUCUCCUUUUGCCUUCCACAUGACCGGAAGUUUCCUGAGGUCUCCGGAGAAGCAGAAGCUGCCACGCUUCCUGUGCAGCCUGCAGAGCCGUGAGCCAAUUAAACCUCUUUUCUUUAUAAAUUACCCAGUCUCAGGUAUUUCUUUAUGGCAAAGUGUGAACAGACUAAUACAACCAUGAACAUAAAAAUACUCAGUAAUAGUUUCUGAAUUAUGGAAGGAUUAGGAAAAAAGAUAAAUGUUCCAUUUUUGUUAUAGAAAUGUAUCUACUAAAUUGUUACAUAUUAUAGCUAACUUAAGAGAAAAAGAAAAGGGGUUCCUUAUGUCCAGAAAAUAGAACAUUAAGAACAAGCAAUGUUCCAAACAAAAAGCCAUAAAAAUUAUACUCCUUCUUUAGUUGAUUCAGUCCUAUGUAAUUAAUUCUUGUUUUGCUUGAUCAUGGGUUAGCAGUUUCAUGAACUCAACUAGAGUUUCGAAAACCCUCACUCAGUCCAGCAGUAUGAUAUUCAAGUUUUUUAGGCCAUGUCAGUAUCAGAUGGGGGCUGGGGAGGUUGAUGGGUAGAAAAUUAUUAAGAGAAGUAAUUACCAAGAAAAAUAUCAAGGGGAGGGGAAUUCUUGCUAAACUGACUUUAACAGGAUUCUUGCUGAAGGCAGACCAGUGUGGUCAGAGGUCAAGGUUGAGGGACUCUCACUAAAUUGGCUUAGCAGGAUCCCUGCUAAAACUGGACUAGGCAGGCUGAAGCCUGGGUCCAGGGAUGAGUCCUGUUAAAAAGAGGGCUGAGAGGGGCCUUCUAAAGUUUGGUCACUGAGACUGUCUUUGUCAAGGGCCCUUCCUAUGUAGUAUUUAUGACGGUAUUUUGUCUGGCAUUAAUAGAGUUAAUAUUGUGUGCCUUUCACAGCAAAUCAAAAAAUAUCAGAGCAUUUAAGAGUAUCAAGAUAUCAUGUUGACCUUGGAACUGAUAGCUUGAAGCAAAAAAAUAAAAAAAUUGCUGCUUAAUUCCUCUGAUAAGCUCUUGAAAUAACUGAACUCUAACCCUGGUAACCGUCACCUACUUCACAAGGUUGAUGGAAGGCACAGGUAAGAAGAGAAAGCCAUAACUGUUUGAAGAUGGGCAGAUUCUGACCAAGACUCCAGACUGUAAGGCCAGGAAAGAGAGAGGGCUUUCCUAAGUCUUGAGCCCAGGUGUAUGCCUGGAUCCCCAGUCUGGGCUCUGGCAAGAGACAAUCAAAGAUCCCAGCAAAAAUAUUACACUGUUCCAAUUCAUGGUUAAAAAUGUUGGCAUAGGUAGUGGUAUUUAUCUCUGGGUUUUUAAUUGACAACCAGGAGCAGCGAGUUAAUAUUGAAGAGCCCUAUUCAGGAAUGAAUAUACACACUCCAGGGGUGGUCUGUUGGAAUUUGAAAGACUAUUAAGAGGCUCCUCCUUUGGGAGGCCGAGGCAGGCAGAUCAGGAGGUCAGGAGAUCGAGACCAUCCUGGCUAACAUGGUGAAAACCCAUCUCUACUAAAAAUACAAAGAAUUAGCUUGGUGUGGUGGCACACGCCUGUAUUCCCAGCUACUCGGGAGACUGAGGCAGGAGAAUCGCUUGAACCUGGGAGGUGGAGGUUGCAGUGAGCCGAGAUCAUAUCACUGCACUCCAGCCUGGGCGACAGAGCUGGACUCGGUCUCAAAAAAAAAAAAAAAAAAAGAAGAAGCAGCUCCUGCUCUAGAGAGUCAGCUAUAAGAACUUCCUCUAUCCUCAAUGAACACCAACAGCUUUGCUAUCUGGCAUAAUGGAUUUUAGGAGUCAUUUUCAUUGGUGAAGUAAGAGUUGUUCAAAAUAUUAUGGGCUGACUGGAAGCACUGUAUCAGAUUGCAUCUCCUUGCAUAAACAGGGUAUUAUGACCUAGAAAGCCUAGUGGAUAAUGUAUGCCCUUCCAAAUGCUGUCUCUGGUUUGGGAUUUGAAUCAGGACUUGUAUCCACAGCUCAUAGAAAGGUUCCUGCACCUGACCCUGACUAGACAUGAAGCUAAAUCAUGCUGUUCGAGUACUGUCACAUCUGCCUUAAGUGAAUCUGUUAUGUAAGGCACCUGUCAGUGUGCCAGCAGAACAAAGCACCAGUACUUGGUUGAGUUUACAGAACUGGUUGUACCACGUUUUUGAGCCUGCUGGCUUCUAAAUGUUUAUUUUAUGGCCGAAUUCCGUCUGAGACUUGCUUUCAUUGUAACAUACCACCUGGUAUGAAGCUGAGGAGACCUAUAGCCCUCACCUACAUCUAUUAUGGGCCCACAUACAUGUGUUUGUGUUUCUUAGCUUAGGGAGGUUUCAGAAGCCCCGAGGCUGGAGUAAAGCAUGGUUACGGACUCUUGUUGUAGCAGAAAUGUUGCUUACUGUCUUUCUAUGACCCUUUGUAUUUCUGUGUAUUGGUUCUUCACCACUAAUAAUAAACCGCCUCAGUUCUUUUCUUAGAAGGACGUUGAACACUAACUAUACGGCAUUGAGCUAGGGAUGAAUUAAAGGGGAGCUCCCUGGAACUCCAGGAACUGUUUUCAAAAUGUGCCUGUUUGUGUUUAUAUGGUAACGUUUGGCUGAAUCCAUUUCACCUUCUGAGUAACACUUAAGGCAAAGCUGAAAUUCUUGCUGUCAACAAAACCCCCAAGACUACAAUUUCUACCCAGCCUCUUUCAAAAAGCAUGGAAAACCUCCUCCAUUCCAGCUUAUUUUUGCAUUGAGGCUGGUAUUUCAUUUGUUUGUUCUUUCGCUUUCUUUAAGCACCACUGCCCAGCAGUGUGGCGUGAGUACUGCUUGCUUUCUGCUCCCAGUCUCACUUUUUUUUUUUUUUUUUUUUGAGACAGAGUUUUGCUUUGUCACCCAGGCUAGAGUGCAGUGGUGUGAUCUUGGCUCACUGCAGCCUCCACCUCCUGGGUUCAAGUGAUUCUCCUGCCUCAGCCUCCUGAGUAGCAGGGAUUACAGGUGUGCACCACCACACCCAGCUAAUUUUUGCAUUUUUUGUAGAGAUGAGGUUUCACCAUGUUGGUCAAGCUGGCCUCAAACUCCUGACUUCAGGUGAUCUGCCUGCCUCAGCCUCCCAAAGUGUUGGGAUUAUGGGCGUGAGCCACCUCGCCUGGCCCCAGUCUCUCAUCUUUGUACCACACAUAUAACUUUGGUUUUGUAAGUAAGAAAAUGCUUACUCCUUGCUGUUGACUACACUGUGAGAUUCCUUUUGAGAACCCCACAAAUAAAGUCAAUACAACCAUCAGGAAUCCUUAGACUCAUUAAAAUUCCAGACCCUGUAAAAACAAUAUUUCCUGUUGAAUCUCAACAUGAACAAAGAGUGAUCAACUGAGAGUCAAACGUGACUGUGGGAUGAGUGAGUUUGGACAUUAACCACAUGAUGUGUAGAGGAGGCACAUCUCUUGUUGACACUCGCUUGUCCAUGUGACACUUCUGCUUUCCUGACACGCACUCAUGGAUACCACGAGUGUGUGUGUCAUGGGAAGUGCACGCCACCGAGCGGGCGCGGGGGCUGACCGGGCUGGGUCACUGCAGUGAAAAGUCAUGUGGAAAAAGCUACCAUUCAUUUAAUUGUUUUCACUUCUCACCUUGAACUCAGCUUUGUGACCACUCUGUGAAAACAAAACCAACACAGGUAUCCUGCCACAGAAUCGCCAUGUGUUAAAAGAUUCCACAGAGGUGUGACUGGACAGCAAACAGCGUUUUUCAGAGAGCUCCCUGUUAGUGGCAAAAUGAACAUUCCCUUAGGAGGGCAGAUCCCUUUUCUCAAAAGGCCAGAGGAUGGGGAUGCGGAAGGGGGUUGACUGUCUGAUUGGGAUUUAUGCCAGUGGAAUGCAGCCAAGUUGUGCUUAUAAAGGCCUUAUUCUUCCUCAGGUCAGAGCAGUACUACUGGGAGAGCCAAGGCGCUUCUCUGGAUGCACUCAACUACAGGGAUCUUUCUUUUGUACAUGCUUGAAUAUUUACCAUUAGGUUUGAUGUAGUGGAAAGACUCCUGGAUUUGGAAUCGGAAACUCUGAACGAGAAGACACUUAUUUUGUCACGGUACGGGAGGAAAUGUAUCUUCCUUGCCCAUCUCAGGUUCAGGGCUGAGGCCCAUAUAAGAAAAGACAGAUUAAGAAGAGAAAAGUAUACACAUUUAGUUAAUCUAAGUUUUACUUGACACGGGAACCUUCAUAAGGAAAUGACCCAGAGAAACAGUUCAGCCUGGCUUCUUUUGUACAACAGGUUUGACGAGAAGUGGCCAGGUGUGCGGAAACGUGAUUGGGGAAAGAGUGUGGUCUGAUGGGAAUAAACUGGGGGAAACUGAGCAAGGCCUGUUUGUUCAGCUUCUUCUUUGUCUUCAGAAAUAAGGAUGUUCCCUUUCUCCGGGUCUAGGGAGGGCACCGCUCACAGGAGGGUCUUACGAUGACCUGCUUCAGGAGAAGGUCAGAAAAUCCUUCUUAGGUUUUACGACCUGAUUCAGCAGGCAAGGUGAGGGGAAAGGUGAGAGGGAGCUUCUUGCACGUGCCAUCUCUCAGAUUCCUUCAGCUUAAGAUAUUCAGUGUGUCAAGGUACCACAGUUUGGGGUAGCAUGUCCUGAACCCUGUCAUUACUUAACCAUUCUGAGCCUAGAGCUGUCUUUUGUAAAAUGCAGAUAAUAUCCCACGCCUUACAGGACAGUUCAAUCAGAGGAAUAAAUAAAAGUGCCUAUGCAGGUACCUGGAGCAUAGUACAUGCUCAAUAAAUGUUUUUGCUCUCAAUCUAAUUUUAAAAUUAAUUAUAUCGGUGUAAUCCUUCCAUAGCUCUUAUUUAAUUUUUAUGUUUGACUCCCCAAGGAGGUUGUAAAUACAUCCUAGAGGGAAGGGACCUUAGAUUAUCUUUUUAUGAAAAGUCAACAGCAGUAAGUGAAAGAAAUCACUGUACAUUAAAUUUUUUUGUCAAAUGAAUGUCACUGCUUUCUAAAAGUACUUAAAAAACACUGAUAUUAUGCAACUUCCUCCUAGCUCUGGAGACAUCCUGGAGGUUACCCUUAUGACUCAACUAAGAAAGCCCCUCAGGACUGAGGAUGGGACAACUGGGAUGUAAUUGGGAAUUGAGGGGGUGAUGGAGAGAUCCACUCUCCAUACUGUUCUCUAGGAACAGCGGGGACACACCUGCUGCUCUUGUUCAUCAGCUCGUCAGCCAUCAGGCUGCCCCUUUGCUCUUGCUUUUAAUACACUAGCACCUGUGCAGGAAAACAGAAGAAAAGAACACACAUUCUUCAGGCCUUUGUGAUCCCUCCUGUGUUCAUUCGAGUGAACUAGAGAACCAGAGCUGGGAAAACCCCCAUGGCGAUGCAUGCAAAGACAUGCACACAGGUGACUCCUGUCUGGGUACUAGCUGGAACAACAAACACUAUGCUAUACGUUCUCUGAGGUCCACGUGGUUGAACUUGAGUCUGAGAAAGCAUCUUGUCUGAUGGGUUCACCCAGAAGCAUCUCAGGUCAGGACAGAAAAAUCCUGACAUCAGGAGCAUCCAUGCUGCUUUGCCUUGACCAACCGGUCACCCUGAGUGUGAUGGAAACUAGAUUUACUCUGGCUAUUGAGGCAUGGUCUUUCUCUUGCUCUCUUUAAUAGAACUUCCUUCUUUCACUAACAAUGAGGUUGAGAAAGUAUGUUGAGGCUUAAAUAUUUCAACAAGACGGAGCGCCAAAAGCCAGGAGCUUCCCAGUAUUUCUGAAGCUCUUUCCGCUUUUCCAGAAUCAACCCCCUUUUUCUAUUUACUGUCAUCCAUUAAAAUAUAAUGCUCUGUCAACACCACUGUUUCUGUUUUGAAUCUUCCAAGCCUGGGUUUGGUAAACAGUUUUCAAUUCAUUGACUGUUAAUCAUUCAUUUAUCUGCAUGUUCAAUGACACCAGCAUUUGCUGUGUUCUUCCUAUGUGCUGGUCGCCGGGUUUUACAGAUGAACAAAAUGAAGCUCAGAGGAUAAUCACUUCUCCAGUGGCAGCUGCUAAGCAGCAGAGCUGGGAUUUGAAAGAAGCUACUCAGGCUUUAAGUCCCAUGUAUUUUAUUCAAUACACCUAAUUUCAACAUCUAGCAAAAAUAGAAAACUGAUGAUAAUCUACCUGUAAUUAUGGAUACUUUCAUUCUUUUUUUAUUUUAAUUUUUUUUGAGGCAGAGUCUUGCUCUGUGGCCCAGCCUGGAGUGGAGUGGUAUGGUCUCGGCUUACUGCAACCUCUGCCUCCUGGGUUUGAGCAAUUCUCCUGCCUCAGCCUCCUGAGUACUGGGACUACAUGCAUGUGCUACCACACCUAGCUAAUUUUUGUAUUUUUAGUAGAGACGGGGUUUUGCCACUUUGGCCAGGCUGGUCUCAAACUCCUGACCUUAGGUGAUCUGCCUGCCUUGGCCUUCCAAAGUGCUGGGAUUACAGGAGUGAGCCACUGCACCUGGCCUAUCCUUUCACUCUUAAAGGAACUUUUCCAGCUAUUCCACCCAACUGGCUGCCAGCGUUACCUUCCUAAAUAACUUUGCCUUUAUCAUCUCUAGGUCAACAUACCAUCAGUUCAGGAGGAAAAAAAUAGGUUUGAGAUUAGAGAUUGGGAAUAUUGGUUCAGACGCCAAUUCUUAAUUGCAAGAUCUCCUAUACUUUUAAUUAUACUUGUAGGGGAGGAAAAACAUUUGUUCUCUGCUCUCCUGUGUUCAGUGGUUGGGGGCCCCAGGAAUUAAAUUCACACAAGACAGACUACCAAGAGAGAAUAACAGAUACAAUUAUGUAUGCUGGCACAGGAAUUCACAACGAAAUGUGAUUCGAAGAGGCAUUUAGAAUUUGGAGCUUAUAUAAACCAUCUUAGGCUGGACAAAGGAAAGGGGAUUUUGGGCUUCUGAGAUGGGAGGUAAGUUAUGGGAAGGUGAAGGGAGAAAAUGUAUAAUAAACAAGUGUUGUUUAAUAACGUUUGUUAGGCAGAUAAGAGUCGCCUCAGGUGCUAAAAGUUGUCUCUGGAGUAUUUCUCUUCCUGGUAUGGGAAAGGGAGACACCCUUACAAAUGGAAAUUUAUGUCCUGUUUUUAGACAGAAUAGGGGAUGGCAGACAGCGAAUUGCCUUCAGCUCAAAACAAUUCUUACGCCAAAGUGGCAUAUUUGGGGGUGGCACAUUCUAUUUCCCAUUAUACCCAAGAUGCAUGAAUCUGAAGCCCUACUUUUUUGUUUUAGUACACAUUACUUCCAUUGUUAUUUAGCUCUUUUCCAAGGCUAUAAGCUACUUAAGGAGAAGAGAAGUGGUUUCUUUAGUUUUGUGUCUGUGGCAUUCCCUCUUAAAAGCUACUGUUUAUUUAGCACCCAUGAUAUCUCAUGUGCUUUAUGUACAUUACCCCCAGAACACUUUCAGUUAAUAUAAAAAUCUCCAUUUCACAGAUGAAGACAUUUACCCUCAGAGAGAUUAAUUGGUUUACUGAAAUCAUUCUGCAAAUAUGUCGCAGGGGACUCAGGAUUUGUUCCUAGAUCUUUGUAUUAGUCAGCGUCUUCAAGAGAAACCGAACCAAUAGAAUGUGUAUUUAGGUAUAUAGAGAGAUUUAUUUUAAGGAAUUGGCUCAUGUGAUUAUGGAGGCUGGCAAGUCCAACGUCUGCAGGGUGAACCAGCAGGCUGAAGACUCAGAGAGGAGCCAAUCCUGCAGUCAAGUCUGAAGACUGUCUGCUACCAAAGUCCCUCUUGCUCGGGAGAAGGUCAGUCUUUUGUUCUAUACAGGCCUUUGUGAACCCCCAACAUUUGAGACAGGUCUAAGUUAAUUUAGAAAGUUUAUUUUGCUACAAAAAUUAAUCAGGCAUGGUGGCAGGUGCUGGUAAUCCCAGCUACUCAGGAGGCUGAAACAGGAGAAUCACUUGAACCUGGGAGGCAGAGGUUGCAGUGAGCCAAGAUCGUGCCACUGCACUCCAGCCUGGGCAACAGAGCAAGACUCCAUCUCAAAAAAAAAAAAAAGAAGAAAAGAAAGAAAGUUUAUUUUGCCAAGGUUGAGAACGCAUGCCCAUGACACAGCCUCAGGAGGUCCUGAUGACAUGUGCCCAAGGUGGUCAGAGCACACCUUGCUUUUGUACAUUUUUAGGGGACAUGAGACAUCAAUCAACAUAUGUAAAAUGACUAUUGGUUCAAUUCGGAAAGGCGGGACAACUCGGAGCAGGCAGGGGGCUUCCAGGUCACAGGUAGGUGUGAGACAAACGGUUCCAUUCUUUUGAGUUUCGGAUUAGCCUUUCCAAAGGAAGCAAUCAGAUCUGCAUUUAUCUCAGUGAGCAGAGGGAUGACUUUGAAUAGAAUGGGAGGGAGGUUUGCCCUAAGCAGUUCCCAGCUUGAAUUUUCCUUUAGCUUAGUGAUUUUGACGGCCCAGGAUAUUUUCCUUUCACACCUUCAGCUGAUUAGAUGGGGCCCACCACAUGGGGAAGGGCAAUCUGCUUUGCUCCAAGUCCCUCAUUUUAAAGGUUAAUCUCAUCCAAAAGACCCUCACAGAAACGUCCAGAUUCAUGUUAAGCCACAUAUCGGCACACUGGCCCAGCCAAGUGGACAGAAAAUUAACCAUCAGCAUUUUCUGGUAGGAAAUUUCACACUCACUUCUUUUUAUCACAUUAAGGUUCUUCUCAACGUAGGUUAGUUGGUGACCUUGAGUCAAGUUCAAGCCAUGCAUGUUAACCUGGAGCAAAAGCCCCCCCUCCCCAUCUUACGUGAAAUGUGUAAUCACCAAUUUCAGGUCUUUGUUUACAGAUAAAAUUUCUAAGGGAUUUUCUGUCUCUGGAAACUUAAAAGGCCAACCUGAUGUGGGUGUUUUUUCAUUUGUUUUGUUUUGUUUUGUUUUUGAGCGGAGUCUCGCUUUGUUGCCCAGGCUGGAGUGCAGUGGUGCGAUCUCGGCUCACUGCAAGCUCCGCUUUCCAGGUUCACGCCAUUCUCCUGCCUCAGCCUCCCGAGUAGAUGGGACUACAAGCACCCGCCACCAAGCCCAGCUAAUUUUUUUUUUGUAUUUUUAGUAGAGACAGGGUUUCGCCAUGUUAGCCAGGAUGGUCUCGAUCUCCUGAUUUCAUGAUCUGCCCACCUCGGCCUCCCAAAGUGCUGGGAUUACAGGUGUGAGUGGGUGUUUUUAAAGAGUAGAGACAUUCUCAAAGGAUCCUGUCUCUGGAGCCAGCUUUAGGGACCUCUUGGUUAGUUCUGGAAGACAAUCUAAUACAAGG